GGCCACAGUGAAAAGAUUUGAAAGGAGACCUCUGCUGUUCUGCAAUGGAAAGGAUGGGGGACAGUCAGUAUCUGGAGGGGGCAGAAAGUAGAGACAACCCCCCCACACUUGUGAACUUUCUAUUUUUUUUUUUUCAUUUUUCCUUUUUAUCAGUACCAGGGAUCGAACUCACGACUGGCUGCUUGUAAGGCAGGCGCGUAUGCCUGCUGAGCUAAAUCCCCAGCCCAAACUUCCUGUUCUACAUGAAGCAGAGUGGAGCUGGGGAGAAGCUGAUACAGGGAAGGAGUGCUGGGCAUACCAAGAGCCCAGACCCAAGGAAUGUGGAUUUGUAGCAGCUGUGUACUGGGAGUGUGUACUGGGAGCAACUGUGUACUAAUCACUAAAAUAGUUCUGGUGAUUUAUUCUAGGAAAAGGAAGAUUGAUUCAAAGAUCUCUGAGAUCAGAAGGCCUCAAGGAGGGCUGGGAAACUGCUAGGAACUGGAGGGCAGUCUUCAUGUAUUUUUGUCUCUGGCCUCUAGGCCUCAUGCUUGGUCUGCAGAGACCCCAGGACAUCUGUUUAGCACAACUGGGGUCAAGGAUCCAUUCAAAGUUCAAUGAACUCCAACCAAGGCGCCAGGAGUCACACAACACUAACCCUACCCUGGGGCCUGUGGGUAUAGAAACUAUAAUCCAAAGAUGGGCUUUUGGGCUUGACUAAGCUAAAGUGGUGUGUACUCACAAGCUCAGGUCUGCAGGACCAAGUAAUUUCCUUUGUUCUGUUUAGGAUGGAAUAGUGGAAAAGGCAGAGUGCUGAAAUGAUGCAUGUGUGUGAUUUUUAAAGAGUAAGGAGCAGACACAGUGACAAAAUGUCACCAAAGUGACCGGCUGAGGAUCUGGACUGGACACAAUGAAUAAAGCCUGGAAGAUUCUGGGAAAGAGAACAAGAAGUCACCAAGAAGCAAGCCCUCCCUGCAAAUUGGCGCCAUUGCGGGCCAUAGGAUGGGAGCCAGAUGUCAGCCCCUUCCGCAUGAGCUGGGAUACAAGAGCCAACUCCUGUACCCAUAUUGCCUGUAAGCCACCAGCUGAUCCAGAGAAACACAGGCUGCGAUGAUAGCUAUUGAGGUAAAAUAUAAUUUAAUGCUUGUAGUGUUUAGUGUUUCAUUGAUUUCAUAAGUCUAAAGUUAGUAGUCUGAUCAUCUAUUCAGAGGAUAAUAAUAUGGAACGUAAGCAUUUAUGGGGGAAUCGCCUUCUGAAGGUAGUAGCCAUUGUUACUUCCCUAUUAUCUUGUUUUGAAAUGUUGUAUCAUUUGCAUUGUUUUGUUGGGUUGGAUUUCAUUCUGUUUUGUUUCAUUUUAUUAUAUCAGCAUGGGCAGCUAUUUCAAAGAUAACAAGAUAUAUUAUAGUAGCCAUUUGGAUUUACUCUUGUCUUGUCCUUUUUAUAAUUCAUUGUUUUGUUUUUACUGGCUCUAUUCUGUUUGAAGAUAUCUGGAGCUAUUUUGAAGACAAGAGGCAUUAUGGGAUCGAAAUUGAAAGAGUUUUGGCCCAGGCCGGACACUGUAGCUGGAAAAGCCUCAGCCGGAACCAAGGAGCUCCUAUCUCCCCCCACCCUUAGGGAUUUACCUCCUGUGCCAAACUAGUGCCAAUGGGCUACUUGUGCAUCCCUUAAUGCCCCUCAGGCACCACACCUAACCUAAGCUACAUAUAUGCCUCCACUCCACGUGUUCCACAGAGAGAUCACCGACCCUAGGGGGGAAAUGCCACGCCCCAGGGGAAAAGGUCGUUUAUAUUUCAUACUUCUUACCUUUUCAGGUCCCCCACAGUUCUAGCAGAACUCACCACUGCCUACUUGCAAGGCAGGCACUUAUGCCGAUGAGCUAAACUUACUCAGCCCUGUAAUUACUUUCUUGACCCCUGUAACCACAAGAGUAUAACCAAACAUGCAAGAUGCUUGAUUGUACCAUUGUACCAAGCUUCAUGAAUUGAUGAUUAUUAAUUUACCCUUGUAACUGAUAAUCUCACUCUGCUAGAUUAUCAUAAGAACUGCCAGGCUGUUCUGUCUCGCCUUUGUACAUUCUUUGUUUAUGCAUCAUACAAAAGCUCUAGAGCACCAGAGAUCCGGGCGUAAUGUUCUGGGAAUGAUCCCCAUCAGAGCCCAUCAACAUAAAUAAA